rnacentral:rRNA from 1 species
GACAAACGCUGGCGGCGUGCCUAAUACAUGCAAGUCGAACGAGUGGCGGACGGGUGAGUAAUGUCUGGGAAACCGCCUGAUGGAGGGGGAUAACUACUGGAAACGGUAGCUAAUACCGCAUACCAUCGGAUGUGCCCAGAUGGGAUUAGCUAGUAGGUGGGGUAAAGGCUCACCUCGGCGACGAUCCCUCGCUGGUCUGAGAGGAUGACCAGCCACACUGUAACUGAGCCACGGUCCAGACUCCUACGGGAGGCAGCAGUGGGGAAUAUUGCACAAUGGGCGCAGGCCUGAUGCAGCCAUGGCGCGUGUAUGAAGAAGGCCUUCGGGUUGUAAAGUACUUUCAGCGGGGAGUCGUUACCCGCAGAAGAAGCACCGGCUAACUCCGUGCCAGCAGCCGCGGUAAUAC